rnacentral:rRNA from 1 species
UGGGGAAUAUUGCGCAAUGGGCGAAAGCCUGACGCAGCAACGCCGCGUGAGUGAUGAAGGCCUUCGGGUCGUAAAAUCCUUUUCUGGGGAAAGAUAAUGACGGUACCCCAGGAAUAAGUUCCGGCUAACUACGUGCCAGCAGCCGCGGUAAAACGUAGGGGACGAGCGUUAUCCGGAUUUACUGGGCGUAAAGCGCAUGUAGGUGGCUUGAAAAGUUGGACGUGAAAGCUCCUGGCUUAACUGGGAGAGGUCGUACAAAACUAGCAAGCUUGAGGUUGGAAGAGGAGAGCAGAAUUCCCGGUGUAGUGGUGGAAUGCGUAGAUAUCGGGAGGAAUACCAGUGGCGAAAGCGGCUCUCUGGUUCAAUACUGACACUGAGAUGCGAAAGCGUGGGGAGCGAACGGGAUUAGAUACCCGCGUAGUCCCUGAGCGGGCUGGCAAGGCGCAU